GUGGGGAAUAUUGCGCAAUGGGCGAAAGCCUGACGCAGCGACGCCGCGUGAGGGAUGAAGGUUUUCGGAUCGUAAACCUCUGUCAGAAGGGAAGAAACUACAUUGUGCUAAUCAGCAGUGUACUGACGGUACCUUCAAAGGAAGCACCGGCUAACUCCGUGCCAGCAGCCGCGGUAAUACGGAGGGUGCAAGCGUUAAUCGGAAUUACUGGGCGUAAAGCGCACGUAGGCUGUAGUGUAAGUCAGGGGUGAAAUCCCACGGCUCAACCGUGGAACUGCCUUUGAUACUGCACAACUUGAAUCCGGGAGAGGGUGGCGGAAUUCCAGGUGUAGGAGUGAAAUCCGUAGAUAUCUGGAGGAACAUCAGUGGCGAAGGCGGCCACCUGGACCGAUAUUGACGCUGAGACGCGAAAGCGUGGGGAGCAAACAGGAUUAGAAACCCUUGUAGUCC
rnacentral:rRNA from 1 species